rnacentral:rRNA from 1 species
GACGAACGCUGGCGGCGUGCUUAACACAUGCAAGUCGAACGGAAAGGCCCUGCUUUUGUGGGGUGCUCGAGUGGCGAAGGGGUGAGUAACACGUGAGUAACCUGCCCUUGACUUUGGGAUAACUUAAGGAAACUGGGGCUAAUACCGGAUAGGAGCUCCUGCUGCAUGGGGGGGGUUGGAAAGUUUCGGCGGUUGGGGAUGGACUCGCGGCUUAUCAGCUUGUUGGUGGGGUAGUGGCUUACCAAGGCUUUGACGGGUAGCCGGCCUGAGAGGGUGACCGGCCACAUUGGGACUGAGAUACGGCCCAGACUCCUACGGGAGGCAGCAGUGGGAAAUAUUACACAGUGGGCGGAAGCCUGAUACAGCAGCGCCGCGUGCGGGAUGACGGCCUUCGAGUUGUAAACCGCUGUCUCCUGUGACGAAGCGUGAGUGACGGUAAUGAGUAAAGAAGCACCGGCUAACUACGUG